rnacentral:rRNA from 1 species
GACGAACGCUGGCGGCGUGCUUAACACAUGCAAGUCGAACGGAGCUAUUUAUUUCGGUAGAUAGCUUAGUGGCAAACGGGUGAGUAACGCGUAGGCAACCUGCCCUCAGGAUGGGGACAACGGCUCGAAAGAGCCGCUAAUACCGAAUGACGUAACUCUUCCACAUGGAAGAGAUACUAAAGAUGGGUCAAACCAUCGCCUAAGGAUGGGCCUGCGUCUGAUUAGCCAGUUGGUGAGGUAACGGCUCACCAAAGCGACGAUCAGUAGCCGGUCUGAGAGGAUGAACGGCCACAAUGGGACUGAGACACGGCCCAUACUCCUACGGGAGGCAGCAGUGGGGAAUCUUCCGCAAUGGGCGAAAGCCUGACGGAGCAACGCCGCGUGAGUGAAGAAGGUCUUCGGAUCGUAAAGCUCUGUUGUCGGGGACGAAAGGAAAGGGGAGGCAAUGCCCUUUUCAAGACGG